CACAAUAUUAUGAUGUUCCCCAAGUUUUGGACUCAAUCCGAUAUCGAUUGGUCCUUGAAAUCGGACAAUUCAGGUUCGUACGAAGUUCGUUCUGAAAUGGGGUGGUUGGUGUAUUGUAUAGUUCUAGAGAUUGGAUUUCACUCAAAACCCACCAAAUGACUCCUCCCACAAUAUUAUGAUGUUCCCCAAGUUUUGGACUCAAUCCGAUAUCGAUUGGUCCUUGAAAUCGGACAAUUCAGGUUUGUACGAAGUUCGUUC
rnacentral:lncRNA from 1 species